UUUAAAUUGAGAGUUUGAUCCUGGCUCAGGACGAACGCUGGCGGCGUGCUUAACACAUGCAAGUCGAGCGAUGAAACUUCCUUCGGGAAGUGGAUUAGCGGCGGACGGGUGAGUAACACGUGGGCAACCUGCCUCAAAGAGGGGAAUAGCCCUCCGAAAGGAGGAUUAAUACCGCAUAAAGUUAAGGUUUCGCAUGAAACUUUAACCAAAGGAGUAAUCUGCUUUGAGAUGGGCCCGCGCCCCAUUAGCUAGUUGGUAAGGUAAUGGCUUACCAAGGCGACGAUGGGUAGCCGACCUGAGAGGGUGAUCGGCCACAUUGGAACUGAGACACGGUCCAGACUCCUACGGGAGGCAGCAGUGGGGAAUAUUGCGCAAUGGGGGAAACCCUGACGCAGCAACGCCGCGUGGGUGAUGAAGGUUUUCGGAUCGUAAAACCCUGUUUUCUGGGACGAUAAUGACGGUACCAGAUGAGGAAGCCACGGCUAACUACGUGCCAGCAGCCGCGGUAAUACGUAGGUGGCAAGCGUUGUCCGGAUUUACUGGGCGUAAAGGGUGCGUAGGCGGAUGCUUAAGUGAGAUGUGAAAUACCUAAGCUUAACUUAGGGGCUGCAUUUCAAACUGGGCAUCUAGAGUACAGGAGAGGGAAACGGAAUUCCUAGUGUAGCGGUGAAAUGCGUAGAGAUUAGGAAGAACACCAGUGGCGAAGGCGGUUUCCUGGACUGUAACUGACGCUGAGGCACGAAAGCGUGGGUAGCAAACAGGAUUAGAUACCCUGGUAGUCCACGCCGUAAACGAUGAAUACUAGGUGUAGGAGGGUCCAACCUUCUGUGCCGCAGUUAACACAUUAAGUAUUCCGCCUGGGGAGUACGGUCGCAAGACUAAAACUCAAAGGAAUUGACGGGGGCCCGCACAAGCAGCGGAGCAUGUGGUUUAAUUCGAAGCAACGCGAAGAACCUUACCUAGACUUGACAUACCCUGAAUUACUCGUAACUGAGGAAGUCCCUUCGGGGACAGGGAUACAGGUGGUGCAUGGUUGUCGUCAGCUCGUGUCGUGAGAUGUUGGGUUAAGUCCCGCAACGAGCGCAACCCUUAUUAUUAGUUGCUUGGGGAUGACGUCAAAUCAUCAUGCCCCUUAUGUCUAGGGCUACACACGUGCUACAAUGGUCGGUACAGAGAGACGCAAGACCGCGAGGUGGAGCAAAUCUCAAAAACCGAUCCCAGUUCGGAUUGCAGGCUGAAACUCGCCUGCAUGAAGCCGGAGUUGCUAGUAAUCGCAAAUCAGAAUGUUGCGGUGAAUACGUUCCCGGGCCUUGUACACACCGCCCGUCACACCAUGAGAGUUGGCAACACCCGAAGUCCGUGAGGUAACCGUAAGGAGCCAGCGGCCGAAGGUGGGGUUAAUGAUUGGGGUGAAGUCGUAACAAGGUAGCCGUAGGAGAACCUGCGGCUGGAUCACCUCCUUUCUA
rnacentral:rRNA from 1 species